rnacentral:rRNA from 1 species
CGAGGAGGUAGGGCUUACGCUCGCGUUUGUCUGUUAUAUCUUGGUGGACGAGUCGUCGUGGUUGGGACUGAGGUGCCUACAACGUGCUUUUGAGUGGGUUUGUGUCUCCGUGUGCGCCGUGUGCGGAUAGCUUGCUAUGUAUGUGCGGUUGUGUGUGGAUUGAUGCGGGCUUUAACUUGUCGCCGUUCGGGACGUUGACGAAAUGGAGCGAUCCGACCCGUCUUGAAACACGGACCAAGGAGUCUAACAUGUGUGCAAGUGUUAGGGUGUGGAAACCCCAGCGCGAAAUGAAAGUGAAGGGCAGCGCAAGUUGUCUGAGGUAGGAAACGUUGCGGGCUUCGGUCUGCGGCGUGGCACUAUCGACCGAUCAUGAACCUUCGUGGUGAAAGAUUUGAGUUUGAGCACAUAUGUUGGUACCCGAAAGAUGGUGAACUAUGCCUGAGUAGGGUGAAGCCAGGGGAAACUCUGGUGGAAGCUCGUAGCGAUUCUGACGUGCAAAUCGAUCGUCAAACUUGGGUAUAGGGGCGAAAGACUAAUCGAACCAUCUAGUAGCUGGUUCCCUCCGAAAUUUCCCUCAGGAUAGCAGCAACUUAUUUACGAUAGUUUUAUGAGGUAAAGCGAAUGAUUAGAGGAUUCGGGGAAGAAACUUCCUCGACCUAUUCUCAAACUUUAAAUCUGUAAGACCUGCAGGUUUCUUAAU